AAGACUAUACUUUCAGAGAUCAUUUCUUUAGUUGUUGACUUGAGAAAUGUGUUUCUACAGAGUUUCAUCUUGCUGUCCAUGUUGAAGAGUUCAGAUAUUUCCUUCAGAGCAGGAAACUGGUGGGAAGACUUUCUUUCUUCUCCCCUGUUGAAGAUUGCACAGAGUUUAUCUUUAACUCCCUAAUGGAGGAAACGUGAUCUGAGUCGG